rnacentral:rRNA from 1 species
UACGGGAGGCAGCAGUGGGAAAUAUUGCACAAUGGGCGCAAGCCUGAUGCAGCCAUGCCGCGUGUAUGAAAAAGGCCUUCGGGUUGUAAAGUACUUUCAGUCGUGAGGAAGGUGUUAAGGUUAAUAACCUUAGCAAUUGACGUUAGCGACAGAAGAAGCACCGGCUAACUCCGUGCCAGCAGCCGCGGUAAUACGGAGGGUGCGAGCGUUAAUCGGAAUUACUGGGCGUAAAGGGCACGCAGGCGGUUAAUUAAGUUGGAUGUGAAAUCCCCGGGCUUAACCUGGGAAUGGCAUUCAAGACUGGUUAGCUAGAGUCUUGUAGAGGGGGUAGAAUUCCAUGUGUAGCGGUGAAAUGCGUAGAGAUGUGGAGGAAUACCGGUGGCGAGGCGGCCCCUGGACAAAGACUGACGCUCAUGUGCGAAAGCGUGGGGAGCGAAACAGGGAUUAGAUACC